GUGAGCUUCUUCUCUUCGACACGUCAACCUGCUUUCCCGCAGAUGCUUCCACGCCUAGCCUCAACUUCUUUCCCCUGCUCCUUCAACUGCUCUCAUCCCAUCAGUUCAUUCAACAUCUUUGCUGUUAUUCAUGUCCUCCUUUCCCUCUUUCUCGGUCUCUUUCUCUUCUUUUGAUCCUUCAUUUGCUUUUCAACUGCUCAUCUCCUUCAUUUGUUGUCAUUCAUUUCUUCUUCGCUGAGUUUCAGGUAAUUGAAAACUUUCACAUCCCUCUCUGCUCUUCCCUCUCUGAUUCAUACUAAUCCUGAAUGCUCUUCGGGAUUUAGGGUUUUCAUUUGGGAUGAAAAAACGGGUUUUCAUUUUUUCCCGAGGCUCAAUCUUAUACUUGCUAACAAGAUUUUCCUUCUUACUCAUCCUGGUGCUCAAGAUAUUGAGAAAGUUCAGCUCAAAGAUGAGGUUUUAUCUUCCAUUAAAUCUGUUUGUAUAAAAUACAAGAACGUAAUGGAAAGUUAGAAACAUUCACUCCCCAACAGAACCACCACCCGGGAAAAGUGAUCAGCAAUUAAAACCAGAAAAAACAGUCACGUGUCAACCAUGUGAUCAUAACUCAACGGUAUUGAACAUAUUACCUCCCGGUCACGCGCCGCCACGGAGUCCUGCGAUAUUGUCGGAGCUACAACGUUCAUCGACGAACAAAACAGUUCUAUUUGUAAAGUUAAGCCUAAUUUAUCUUUUUGAUCAAUUGAUGAUGAUAUUUUAAAUUUAAAAUUAAUUUACAAUUCACAUGGCCAAUAUGAUAGAGACAGUUCUAACUUCUAACGGUAGUCUUCCAUAGAUUCUUAGGUUAGUAAUAGGAUUUGAAAGAUAAUUUAGAUUACCGUGUCUUCUUUGCUUUUAGAUAAUAUGUUGAUGUGCAAUUUAAUUGAUGUUGAUGAUUGAUGUUUGUCUAAUGUUGAUAAUAAUGUCUGUAAUUUGUGGAUUCAGUAAAAGGAAAGAUGUUUUUGAAUUGGUGUUGAUGAUUGGUGUUUGUCUAAUGUUGAUAAUAAUGUUUGUAAUUUGCGAAUUCAGUACAAGGAAAGUUGUUUUUGAAUUCGGAUGAUUUUUUCAAGCUACAGUUAAUAUCGUGAGAAUUCGGAUGAAAAAACGGGUUUUCAUUUUCAAGCUAGAAUAUCCGUUUCACCUCUAAAUGGAGCAAAUGAGAAUCAUCAAAAUGACCUUGCAUUGUCUUUUCGAAUUGACCAAAAUAUUUAAGAAACAGCUAAAUGGAGCCAGUCACAAUGGACUUGCCUCGCAACUCUUUAUGUAUGCAACUCAUUAAGUUAUGUGAAGCUGAUAUUCACAUGUUUUCUGUCUAUUUGGUGACUUUGAUGCUUAUGAAAUAUUUAUGUAUCCAUAAUUACCUUUGCGACAAUCUUCUGCUUCUUAUAUUUGUAAGGAGAUGUGAAUCUUUCAAUAGUGCAGCCGUAGGUAUAUAAGUAUAUGUCUAUAGUGCAAGUAUACAACUAUUUUUAGGAUAAAAUUGCUUUUUUGCAUCUCACUAUUGAACUACAAACUUAUUACAGUUAUGCGAUGCAAAUACGCAAUUUCUUAGUAAAUCCAAACUUCAAGAUGCUAUGGUAUCUCACUAUUUUUUGUUCUAUUAUGCGCCUUCUAUUUGUAGAUUUUUGGUGCUCUUGUGAUCGUUUUCUGAUGUAUUUGUGCAUUGAGCAAAAAUCAGGUUACUUUCUGAAGUAUUUGUUUUUUUUGUAUCUCACAGGUGGCGUGGUGUUAAACUGUUUGCCUUUGAGAAUGCUAAGCAUAAAACCUAUGUUGAUUUGAAGGUAAGAGGCCUGUUUGUUGUAGACAUAAAAGUAGUUCACUCAAUCGCUAUCUUCCUGACACGAUGUUCUUGUUCCUUUUUCUUAUUUUGAGAAUACCCAGGUCCUAACCCUACUGAUACUGUUAAUUGGGUCUUUUGAAUUUUGUUAGGUAUUGGGUCAAGGAGAAAGAGUAUUUUUGUUCUUAAGCACAUUGAUGUUUAUACUUUUGGUUUUUCUCUUCACUUUUGUUCAUUCCUUUUACUAUUUGCUUAAUUGGUUAUGUGUUAAUUUGGUUGCUAAUAGUUGUAUUUGAUUGCUAAUUGAUUGAGAAGGAAGAGUAUUAAUGAUUCUUUUAUGUUGGGUCAUUGUGUUUCCCUUCAAAAUUUUGUUUAUUACAAAGUUGGGUUUAAGAGGAAAUUCUUGGUGAAUAUUAGUAUAAUUUUGGGUUAUUGUGGAGUAAUUUUGUUGCCUUGGUGAUUAAUUGGGUCUUUUGAAUUUUGUUGGGUGUUGGGUUAAGGAGAAAGAAUAUUUUUGGUCUUAAGAACAUUGAUGUUUAUGUUUUUGGUAUUUCUCUACACUUUUGUUCAUAAUAUCCUAAUGACAUGUGAGCUUGAUUAUUGUCAGCUGAUUUGUGAUUAGGAUAUGAAGUUACUUAGUUUCAUUUGAUUUGGUGGGAAAUGGUGAUUGAAUGUGUUUGCAGUUGCAAUUUCAUAUUCCUUUUGGGAUGAUGAUGUUGAUAAUGAUGACAACUUUGAGCUUAAAAUUUCAAAACUGCCAAAGAAAGAAAGCGAUAGACCGACAAAACAAAAGGUGUUACCGAAGGCAGCAGUGACUUGAUACAACAGGCACAAGCAUGGCGGUGAUGUGAAUGCCACGGACCUUAGCCAGCAGACUGCACUGCAUUGGGAUGCCGUGAGAGGUUCCAUUGCAGUUGCUGACCUGUUGUUGCAGAAUGAAGCUCGUGUUGAGGCUGGAGAUGCUAAUGGGUACAGGGCAUGUUGUUGGCACUAAUUUGGCUUUGGCGUUGUAGCCGUUGAAGCAACUUGGAGGACAUAAUUUUCAGACAAUGACAUCAUCAGCAUUUGCAUCAGCUGAAUUACUAUCUUGUUUCACAAAUUUGGAUCAAAGCAUACUUGAAAAAUCAGAAGAGUAAUUCGAUUGAUAAACAAUAAUCACACCAUUCCCAAUCACAGAAACUAAUAUUAUUGAAUGCUUUCACUAAUUGGUUAAGCAUUCAGGAGAUCUCUUUCCGACCCUUCCUCCAAAGAUCAGCUUGUUGUCGUCUGCUGUUGGACAAAGCUUAUCCUCUUUGAUCACUAAGAAUGCAUUUUUAUCUUUCAUUACAACAAUUGUUUAUUUUUAAAUAUUUUUUGUUUUUUAAAUGGGAUACACUUUUUAAAGUGGUAUAGUCUGAUAUUGAAUAUGUAUAAAAAUAGUUAAUUGUUUCAAAAGAAUGUAUCAUGUAAAUUGUUUCUCUUGCUAAUUAGUGUUUAUCUAUUGUAAAGGGUAGUCGCUUUUA